AUACUACUCCCUCCGUCCGAAAAAAUUAUUCUCUCAAAUGAAUGUAUCUAGCACCAAAUUAAUACUAGAUACAUCCAUUUGAGGGACAAAUUUGGGACAAUUUUUUUCGGACGGAGGGAGUACAAA
rfam:Triticum aestivum genome assembly, contig: Triticum_aestivum_CS42_TGACv1_scaffold_050582_1BS